CAUUAAUUUGCCCAAGCCCAGAGUGUGUGAGAAAGUGCCUGCCUGACAUGUUUUUCUUUUCCAUUAACACUUCUGUGAUAAACAGCUUAGAUGCUCAGAGAAAAAUUAAUGAAACUAUUGUAACAAUCAUGCACAUGUAGGUAAUUUAUUAAGGACAAUUAAAAAGCUUUAAAAAUCAUCCGUGAGGCAAAAUGAACAGGAAGAUGGUGUGUGGCGGGUUUUGGCAGGGAGCCUGCCCGUGGGUGUACGGAACAGGUUUCUCUUCCCAUCGCCCUCACCCCCAUCAGAGCAACACAGCAGUGGAAAGCGUGGAUUCCUGCUGUCCAGGCUGUUAGUAACAAACAUUCUAUGCUGGUUGCCUGUUGGGUGAAGCCAGGGAGAUGUGUGACUGUGUGGUCUGGCUGUUCUGCUCUACCUUCCUUGGGACCCAGGUAUGCUGGUUCCUGGGCCUCCCUUCCAGGAGCAGGAGCAUGUUGGGUGACAACUUGGUUAUUGGACUUUUGUUGUUUGUGUUGGCUCUAGGAGCCUCGAAACCAGGUGAGGGGCAGCAAGGGAAGCCUAGAGAGGUUAAGGUGGCACUGUCAUGACGACACCAGCCACUUACUAGCUUGGACCUUGGCCUCUCUGUGUAACGAGCCUGAGCCUCAGCUUCCUCAUCUGCAAAAUGGGGAGAAUCGUUAGGAAGGAGUGGAGGAUUGGAGCGAGGAUCACACAAGAUCAUGCAUGCUGAGGGCCUAGCGUGAUGCCUGGCAGGUAUGUAGUAAAUGUUCAAAUGUUUAAUAUUCUUUGUUAUCAUGAGCGGCAUCAUGAUUGUGUUGUUGGCUGAAAGCCAAGCUAGGGUUGACACCCACAUAUCAAACUCCAAGGCCAGUGCACUUUUCAUGAUGUGCCAGUACCCACCCACUCACCCUUGGAUCCUCCCUCCACCGCCACUGUUUUACAGGAAUGCCAAUACUGUGUCCUGUGUGAAUGCUAGGAUGUACUCACUGAGCCUCCUUGAGGCUUGGGUGAGGCCCCUCUUUGGAAGGAUGGAGCUGCCUAGCUUCCUCCUGGUCUCAUCUCUAUCCCCACUCCUUCUCCAACCCUGUCAUGGUUCAUAGCCCCAAAGUGACAGAUCUUCCACACUCUGGAAUUUUUUUCACACGUGUGGAGGACUGGGAUUGCUAGAAUUUGUUUCUUUUUAUUGGUUGGUGACCCAAGAAAUCUUUGACCUUGUGGACCAGUGGUUUCUCAAAUGCAGAUAUAUUUAAUAAAGUCAGGGUCUGUUAGCGGAUGGUAUUGGUCCCUCUCUGGGUAUUUAUCUUUAUUUUAUUGUUUUUCCCCAAGGCUUGAUCGUAGACACAUAGGUUAUGUGUCCAUUAUAGACAUAUGCAUCUAUUUUCAAGAAGUAAAUUUUAGUUCACUUACUGACUAGAAAGGAAAAGAAAGUGUUUUAGAGUAGACACGUCAGACACGACAGAUUUUUUUCCCUUUCCGUGCUAUAAAUGAGCAGUGAAAAAUGACUUUUGCUAUUAAAAGCUGUAGCACCAGCCAGGCGCAGUGGUUCGUGCCUGUAAUCCCAGCACUUUGUGAGGCCCAGGCAGGCAGAUCAUGAGGUCAGGAGAUCAAGACCAUUCUGGCCAACACGGUGAAACCCCGUCUCUACUAAAAGUACAAAAAUUAGCUGGGUGUGGUGGCACGUGCCUGUAAUCCCAGCUACUCGGGAGGCUGAGGCAGGAGAAUCGCCUGAACCAGGAAGUCGGAGGUUGCAGUGAGCCUAGAUAACACCACUGCACUCUAGCCUGGCAACAGAGUGAGACUCCAUCUCAAAAAACAAACAAACAAACAAACAAACAAAAAACUGUAGCACCUGUAAAAAAUAGUAAAUUAUAGGACAUUAUCAAAGUUUAUAGGCACUAGAAUUUGACCUUCAGUAAAUUCAACAUUGGAGGGUAACAGGGUUUUCUUUCCUUUCUUCAAAAUGAAAAAUGAGAGGGAGGAAAAAGAUUUAUUUCCUUCUGGGGCUGGAGUAACAACUGGAAAUGGUAUUCCCCAGCUUAAAGAAAGAAAGAAAGAAAGAAAGAAAGAAAGAAAG
rnacentral:lncRNA from 1 species